GAUGAACGCUGGCGGCGUGCCUAAUACAUGCAAGUCGAGCGAACGGACGAGAAGCUUGCUUCUCUGAUGUUAGCGGCGGACGGGUGAGUAACACGUGGAUAACCUACCUAUAAGACUGGGAUAACUUCGGGAAACCGGAGCUAAUACCGGAUGAUAUUUUGAACCGCAUGGUUCAAAAGUGAAAGACGGUCUUGCUGUCACUUAUAGAUGGAUCCGCGCUGCAUUAGCUAGUUGGUAAGGUAAUGGCUUACCAAGGCAACGAUGCAUAGCCGACCUGAGAGGGUGAUCGGCCACACUGGAAGUGAGAAACGGUCCAGACUCCUACGCGAGGAAGCAGUAGGGAAUCUUCCGCAAUGGGCGAAAGCCUGACGUAGCAACGCCGCGUGAAUGAUGAAGGUCUUCGGAUCGUAAAACUCUGUUAUUAGGGAAGAACAUAUGUGUAAGUAACUGUGCACAUCUUGACGGUACCUACUCAGAAAGCCACGGCUAACUACGUG
rnacentral:rRNA from 1 species